rnacentral:rRNA from 1 species
UACGUAGGGGGCAAGCGUUGUCCGGAAUCAUUGGGCGUAAAGCGCGUGUAGGCGGCUUAGUAAGUCUGCUCUGAAAGCCCGGGGCUCAACCCUGGGAGGCGGGUGGAUACUGCUGAGCUUGAGUCCGGAAGAGGCGAGUGGAAUUCCUGGUGUAGCGGUGAAAUGCGCAGAUAUCGGGAGGAACACCAGUGGCGAAGGCGGCUCUCUGGGACGGUACUGACGCUGAGACGCGAAAGCGUGGGGAGCGAACAGG